AGUAUGGCGUAAAUCGCACUCUAACUUGGUCGGAAAGUUUUUAUAAGUCUUUUAUAAGCGUUUAUAUUCCUUUAAUUGGGCAACUCUCUCGGAAAAACACACCCAAAGGCAAGCGAAAGAAAUAGCCAACAGAUAGGAGGACCCGCUUAUCAAGAUUGGCUUCGCUGCGUCAAGAUCAAAACGGGUUCAAAACGGGUGGAGACCUAGCCUUCCUGAUACUGGAUUUGAAAGUCGUAUAUGUACAUUUUUUCUUACUGUCCUGUACUUUUGAGUGUAUUAGUUAUUAGGCUGUGCUCAUGUUGUUUAUUGGCGCACUAACGUUACUGGUUCACAAUUUAUAACCCUAAGGUAGACUAGAGAUAAUGUAAUGUUGCCAAGGUCUCAAUAGCUAAAGUAGCAUGAUCGUGUAAAAUCACAAAUUUACUUCAAAUAAUGCUUCUAAAAGAUGACUACCAAAGGACAAUAAAUGUUUUAUGGUCAAAAUUGCUGAUUCCUAGUUAAUGCACGUAGACUAAUGUUAUCGGUAUCUAUAGUUACCAUGCUAGGCAGGGGCGGACUGCCCAUCUGGCGUACCGGGCGUUUUCCCGCUGGGCCGUUAACGUAUAGGGCCGUGUAACGAGUGGUAUAAGGUGUGGGCCCUUUAAGAGCAAUUUGCCUAUGUUCCUUUUUUUACCUUUUGUGUAUGUGUGCAUGUGCGAGAUUGUCUUGCGCUUCAACUGCACCCCGCAUGUAUGCCGGUGGGAGUCUGAUGCUCCAUUUUCGUUUUAUUAUUUAAUCUUAGUUUUUGUUAAGUGACACGUUUCCGUGUGCUCGGAGGAAUAAAUCCGUUUCUGAGGGACACUUUUUGUGGGUUUUCCUGCUAUAUGCAACGAAGUUGCUUUGGGUUGGUGAGCUAUCCCUUUUUCUCACUAAAGACGUGUUACAGCCGGAACGGAGGCGGUGGCCGCAAAUGCAUUGGGCCGUAACGGACGUGUUUGCCGUUAACGUAUGAGGCCGUAACGGAGGCAUUGGCCGCUUAGAAGUAUGUAUUAUAAAUGCGAAUGCACGCAACGCGAAUGCAAGCAUGCAACCCACCCCCCGGUCGACAGAUUCGGUGGAGGACCGAUGCGGGCCUAAAAGUGCCAGGGACGAUUUUUCUUCUCAGCCCAGCCCUGAUGCUAGGCGCUAUUCCUAUAGCGAGUUGAGUGUAAGUUUGUGAUUGCACCUACUACACAAAGCACAACGCCUGGUCACGAGUGUGUUUCUUAAAAUAUGACUACAGAAAAGUAUUAUUUUCAUUGGUUAAAAAACAUUCAGGUCCAUGCGUUGUGUUUUGGGUGACUGGAAAUGUGCCAUGUAGCUAACAACUAGCUGCUACCUCAGAAUCUAGUAGCAUUAGCUUAUGCAUUAGCAUUCCUUGGCAGCAUACCCAUUAAUUUAGCAUGAAAUAUCCCAUGUUGCGCAAGGUAAAGCGUACUUCUAGAAGCUGAAAAAAAUAACCUCAGCACACAAUCUUUCAGGAACAUGGACCAAAAACAUGUUGAUAACCUAUUCAGCACUCGCUCAGUGUUUUUUAUAAGACAACGCUUCUUUGACAGAAAUUUUCAGCAAUCCAUGUUACUCCAGGGCUCUCAAGUCUCGUGAGACACACGCAUUUCAACCCGCUCACACGCCAGACCUUGUAUUUCUCACGCAGAGAAAUUUCCAGGAAAAGGCCCACCAAGUUGCGCCGCUAUUAGAAGAAUCAAGUGAGUUCCCCAUAGAGUUCAGAAGGCCCUGCCACGCACCAGCUAAUCAAAUAAAAAAUAGCUACCGAACAGCCAAUCAGAAAAUAGCAUUGCUGUAUCCGGGUAAGAUUUAGAUAUUCCCGCAACAACAACGUUUACAUUCUGAUUCCAACGACACAUUCUGUGAUUCACAGGCUCGCUCAACACGACAUUAAUUCAGAUGGAUCAUUAUCGCUAUAAAGUGCCUUUUGGUGUCCUCAUCAGAAACACUGAGCCAUCGUGAACAUAAUGUAAAAUAAUGACAUUUUGAGGUUUUAUUAUAAAUGUCCUAAUAUUUACACACAUACAACUGCAGUAAGAAGAUUCUUAAAAUGUGUUUUAUCAUUUUAUACCAUUUUCUUUGAUUCGAUGUAUGUGAUUUUGGCAUGUCCCUCACACUGCUAAGCUAACUUCAGUGAGUGUAAAAAGUGGAAACAUUGCACAAAAUUAAAAUAUUUUUUGAAUGUUCUUAUUGUCCUCAACAAUGUAUUUAAUAAAACAAAUAAUUUGGAUAAUUUAUAUUCUAUUUUCAUAAUAAUAUUAAGCUUUUUGCAUGAGUCCCUGUAAUUGCUGUCUACCCUGUCAUUUUGGGGUAAGCGCCCCUUUAAGAGAUGGUCUGAUGUCCUCAGUGACAGCCCCUCCCCCAUUCUGCCUUUCCUCAGUGGAGAGGUUAAAACAUCUGCAGCGCACACAGUAAGUAUCUGCACUCAUUUUUCCUAGUUUUCAACAUAAUGUGUUUGUAGUUAAAUGUUGUCAAGCUUCACAUGUCCACAUUGUCAUAGUGACAUUUUAAUUAACAUAAAAACUUUUCAGUAAUUGAAAAUAUAUAUCUUAAACAGUAUACAGUCAGCUUUAACAGUGAAUCCCUUUGCUAGCUGCAACUACACCAUGUUUUCAUCCCUGCUAAUUUCAGCAGCUAUUCUGACACUUGUUUAGUAUUAGUUCUGAUUCAGAAGGAAAGAAAAAAGAAAGAAAAGGAAAGAAAAAACUAUUAUACACAUUUCACAUUGUGAAAACCUUUGGCCUAGGCUAUUUCAUUAUAUUUUAUCCAGACAAUGUAUAGUAUUAAAUAUUACAUUUGUCUAUUUCAAAGAUGUCAGGGAAGAGGCAAAUGAGCAUUCUUUCAUGCUUCGCUCUAAAGGAUCAGCUCCCUAAAAGGGUGGCCAGUUCAGAGAAGGAGACUGUGGAGAAGACAGUAGAUGAGGCAGUGGAGGAGACAGCUAGGGUGUCAGUAGAGGAUGAGUCAUGGAAGAGACUGUGGAGGACUCACUGGAAACAGGGAAAAAGAGAGGAUUAAGUAGAGCAGCCACCUAUAGGUGUUUCUUUAAGAAGGAGUGGUCAACCCGAUGGCCAUACAUCACAAUGGGAACCACCAGCUCCUUCUACUGGUGCUCAGUCUGUAGACAAGAGAACUCCUGUGCCCAUCAAGGCGUGAGGGACAUAAGCAGGCAUGUUGGCAGCCAGUUUGGGAGGCUUUCUAAAAUAGCUGCAUUAGUGUUAGUGCUCCCUCAUUCAAAUGCAGACGCUGAGAGGGUUGUCUCCAUGGUUGGACUAAAUAAAACCAAAUCCAGGAACAGCUUGGCACUGGAUGGAACUCUGUCAUCCAUCAUGACAGUGAAAAUGGCUGGCCUGGAACCACAGUGUUUCAAGUGGGAGCCACCAACCCCUGUGCUGAAGGCCUCAAAACAUGCUACCAACACCUACAAUAAACAACACUAACCAUUAUCUCUCUCUCACACACACACACACGCACGCACACACACGCACACACACACACACAAUUGCACAAAGAAAUGAUGAAUUAAAUAAAUAUUUUUUUAUUUGUACAAAUUUAUGUCACAUUUUUCAGAUCAGACCCCCGUCCCCACCCAAACCCCCGCCGCCGCCAAAAUCUCACUCUGAACUCAGUUCAAAACUUGGGAGCGCUGUUACUCUAUCUGUGUUUUGAUCAUUGUUCUGAAUCUAUCUAUGUAAAGUCUUUGACAAAAAAAUAUCUCAGCUUUCGUUCGAGAGGUGGUAUUUUUGAAGAAACCUACCCACAAACGAGAGGUGAUUAAAAGAACAGAUAGAAUACUUUUUAAAGCAGAGGCUCUGCUCUUUCAUCUGAUAUGUUGUGUGUUCAUAUUAGUGUUGUAGUCGAGACCACCGAGACCAGAGAGUGUCAAGACCAAGACAAUAUCAAGACUUUGAGGGGCCGAGACUGGCUGAGGCAGGCUGAGACUGAGUCGAGACCAAGACCAGCAAUCCCAAAAUUCAUUCAAAAGAUCCUCAAAAACACUGAAAAGUCAUAAUAAAAUAAUAAUAAAAGAAACUUGGGUGAUUUAUUGUGCAGAAAUUGAUGUGUAGGAUGUUUUAUGUCCCAUGUUUUAUCAACCACCUACUGUAACAUAUUACAAUUUUUGUGCAGGUAAAAAUUCCAACAACUAAACAUAAAAAAAGGUAAAUACCCAAGAUAAAUUUAAGUAUGUGACCUUCAACAAAACAAAACAUUCAGUGACUUAAUUCGUUUUAUUGCUAUUUUAUCUAAUCAAUAGCAAAAUAGCUGUGUGUUGCUCAGAAAUAGUGUGUAGCUCACAAAAGUUCAGAUUUGUUCUAGAUUUGUUUGGGACUUGCCAAAAUAUAACAAAAACGUGUGUUUAAUUGCGUCUAAAACUUAAGUCACUUAUUAACUCAAGGUUUAUUGAAUUAUUUUGCAAAAUCAAUAUCACAUCAGAUGUUAUAGAAUAAAAAACAAGAUUUCAUACAAAUACCUUUUUUGCAAUCACAUCUCGGAUAUUGUGGGCCUGUGUAUUCAUUUUGUUGACAGAUUUCUUUAAGACAAUCCCCUAUUCUUCUCUUACCAGCAGUGAGAGUAAGAAAUGUAACAGAAGAAUCAAACAAGGAGCAAGCGGUGAAUGCGUUUUAAGCCAGAAGUUUUACAUCCAAUCACAUGAACGAUGUUAACACAUAAAUCAGACAAUGCACCAGAAAUUUUGUGUAAUUCCCACAGUUGUGGUCUUGACCGGUCUUGAAAUAAAACCCAGAGACCACUAAGUCUGAGUCCAAGACAAGACCGAGACCAAAAACAGACACCGAACAAGACUCGAGUCUACAACACUAGUUCAUAUAUUAGAAGAAAAUAUUGUGAUUGCCAUGAAAAGUUUGUGAAAAUGAUAAAAAAAACACAUGAAAUGUGCUGGCGGGAAACAGUUAACCAGCUGACUUUUUAGUGUUGAUGCAAUAAAACAAAAUAUUCAAAUGUUGGUUGAAAUAUUUUUAAAGUCUACAUGAAACAGAAAGUGAUUGUCUUCUUUUCUCUAUUGUAAUGUAUAUCAGAGUGAAAUGGCUUCUGAAAUGAGAAGAAAAUAGGGCAGAACUUGAUUUCGUCUGUCGAGAACUUAUUGGAUCGUUGUCUAUUUUAUUUUUUUUUAUUUUUUGGGGGGGGGUCUGGGUCAGAAGAGAGAAGGAAGGGAAGAGAGCUCGUUCAGAGGAAGGAAGGAGGUUAACAUUUUUGAUUAAAGAUUAUGAAGGCACAUUAAUUUGUAAAAAAACAAUGAUGUGCACAGAUAAGCCAUUUAUAAAAAACUCUACAAUGUUCAAUAAAAAAAUACAGUUGUCAAUUUCAAUUUUACUGAAGCAUUCUGUAAAUUUCUGCUGUUUAUAUUGUGACUAUUACUUAGUAAAAAUAGCAGAGACUCGCAAUGUAUGGCAAUUCCACUUCAUGGCGUGGCCGGAUCAUUCCACCGAGCACAGAAGUUCUUUUUGACUUUAUCGGGACCUUGUGAGAAUACACAUGGACCAGUACUCACACUCCUUGCCAACUGUGGUGCAUUGCAGUGCUGGCGUGGGGAUGUACAUCGCCAUUGACCGCCUGAUCCUCCAGAUUGAAAAAGAAAGUAUGGUGGAUGUCUAUGGAAACGUUCGUGAUAUGCACAUGCGCAGGCCUUUCAUGGUGCAGAGUGAGAACUGAACUGAAUAUUUUCAAACAUAAAAUAUCAGCAUUAUAUUCUUACCUCCACCAAUGUGCCCAUGAUAAUAUUAAAUCAAGAGGUGGAGCCUCUGAUGACAUCAUGCAAUCUGCAAUAUUUUUGAGCGUAUAUUUGUGACCCUGGAUCACAAAACCAGUCUAAAGUAGCAGGAGAACAUUUUUAGUUAAAGCCAAAAAUACAUUGUGUGGGUCAAAAUUAUAGAUUUUUCUUUUAUGCCAAAAGUCAUUAGAAUAUUAAGUAAAGAUCAUGUUCCAUGAAGAUAUUUUGUAAAUUUCCUAUGCUAAAUAUAUCAAAACUUUAUUUUUGCGAGUGGAUGGCCAGUAACAGUGCCUCUUAUUAACAACUUCAAAGGCAAUUUUCUCAAUAUUUUGAUUCUUUUGCACCCUCAGAUUCCAGAGUUUUAAACAGUUGUAUCUCCGCCAGAUAUGAUCAUAUCCUAACAACCCAUACAUCAAUAGAAAGCUUACUUAUUCAGCUUUCAACCGAUGUAAAGAUCUCGAUUUCGAAAAAUUUACCCUUAAGACUGGUUUUGUUGUCCAGGGUCACAUAUGGGUUGUAAGUCCCAGCACUUGUCGAUCCAUUUAUUUUCUGCAUCAUGUUCAAACUCUGCUUCAUGUUCAUGUUCACAACUUUUGAUUAAUAACAUCUGUAUGAAUAAAAAAUAUAU